CCUGCUGGCUUCUGGAAACGAACCGAGGAGCAGAGGAGCGUGAGCUCGACCUGGAUGUCAGCGACGGCAAAGCCCUGGCAGCAGCUGCACCCUGGGGACCCUGUGGACUUGGCCCUGGCUGGGCAGAGAGGAACCUGCUGUCCCAGAGCUCACCCCCUUUCCCUGACCCGGGAUGCACGUGUGUUUUGAAACGUCCCCAUGGACCUUCCCUGCUGCAGGGGCGCUGGUUCCUGGCCUGGAUGUCCGCCAUGUAGUAUUCGUGAGAGUCUGCCAGGUCCGCCAGCCGCUGCCUGUACGCCGCGUGCAGGGGGAUCCAAGGGCUGGUUUCCUCCUGGAGCAAAAAAGCAAAGCUCGAAGGAGCGGGGGGCACGACACACUGCGAGCCAACCCGUGUCAGCCCCAGCGUCGAGGAUGGCAGAGCAGCAAGGCCGCGGGAUCCUGUGCACCCCACAAGCUCAGCCAGGAAGAGGGGGAGAAAAGUCCCGUCCACCUAACACCCAUGCAGCGAGAUGGUGACAAGCCUGCAAUUCAACACUGGGGUCCGGGCUCUCUGAGCUCUGCCUCACGGCCGUGCAACAGGGUUGAUGGUGUAGUUUUAGUACCAGGUGAGACGGGGGUUUGUUUGGAUGGGGCUGGACAAGAUAUGACCCCUGCAGCUCUUCCCAGCCCCGCUGCUCCGUGACUCGAUGAGACGGCUGCGCUGCUUCAGGGGACGGCGCAGGGCUCGUCCCUUAGGUCGGGGUGGUGGGUUGGGGGGUCCCAGGCAGCAUGGCCAAUGCUUGUGGUUUCACUGCAAGUCUCGCAAGCCUCAAGGAAACCCGGCAGGCUGAAGGCCCCUGCCCCAAACGACAAACACAGCACUUACAUUUUCCAUUUUGUCUCCUGUUUUUGGGGACCUGCCUUGUAAUUUUUUACCUCUUUGGGGCUGACAGCACUGCAGAGGUAAACCCCCUCCCUCCACCUCCAGUCACCGGUGAGGAUUGCACCCAGGACCUCUGCAUCUUCUUAGAUGCUCAGAGUAAAUAAAAGCCUGUGCCAACUUGCUCCAA